rnacentral:rRNA from 1 species
UGGGGAAUAUUGCACAAUGGGCGCAAGCCUGAUGCAGCAACGCCGCGUGAGGGACGACGGCCUUCGGGUUGUAAACCUCUUUUAGUAGGGAAGAAGCGAAAGUGACGGUACCUGCAGAAAAAGCACCGGCUAACUACGUGCCAGCAGCCGCGGUAAUACGUAGGGUGCAAGCGUUGUCCGGAAUUAUUGGGCGUAAAGAGCUCGUAGGCGGUUUGUCGCGUCUGCUGUGAAAACCCGAGGCUCAACCUCGGGCCUGCAGUGGGUACGGGCAGACUAGAGUGCGGUAGGGGAGAUUGGAAUUCCUGGUGUAGCGGUGGAAUGCGCAGAUAUCAGGAGGAACACCAAUGGCGAAGGCAGAUCUCUGGGCCGUAACUGACGCUGAGGAGCGAAAGCAUGGGGAGCGAACAGGAUUAGGAUACCCUGGUAGUCCAUGCCGUAAACGUUGGGAACUAGAUGUGGGGACCAUUCCACGGUCUCCGUGUCGCA